UCGGAUUGUAGUCUGCAACCCGACUACAUGAAGCCGGAAUCGCUAGUAAUCGCAGGUCAGCAUGCUGCGGUGAAUACGUUCCCGGGUCUUGUACACACCGCCCGUCACACCAUGGGAGUCGGAAAUGCCCGAAGUCGGUGACCCAACCGGAAGGAGGGAGCCGCCGAAGGCAGGUCUGAUAACUGGGGUAAAGUCGUAACAAGGUAAC
rnacentral:rRNA from 1 species